AUCCGGUUGAUCCUGCCGGACCUGACUGCUAUCGGAUUGAUACUAAGCCAUGCGAGUCAUUGUAGCAAUACAAGGCAGACGGCUCAGUAACGCGUAGUCAACCUACCCUAUGGACGGGAAUAACCUCGGGAAACUGAGUAUAAUGCCCGAUAGAACAUUAUGCCUGGAAUGGUUUAUGUUCCAAAUGAUUUAUCGCCGUAGGAUGGGACUGCGUCCUAUCAGUUUGUUGGUGAGGUAAUGGCCCACCAAGACUAUUACAGGUACGGGCUCUGAGAGGAGUAGCCCGGAGAUGGGUACUGAGACACGGACCCAGGCCCUAUGGGGCGCAGCAGGCGAGAAAACUUUGCAAUGUGCGAAAGCACGACAAGGUUAAUCCGAGUGGUUUCUGCUAAAGGAACCUUUUGUUAGUCCUAAAAACACUAACGAAUAAGGGGUGGGCAAGUUCUGGUGUCAGCCGCCGCGGUAAAACCAGCACCUCAAGUGGUCAGGAUGAUUAUUGGGCCUAAAGCAUCCGUAGCCGGCUCUGUAAGUUUUCGGUUAAAUCUAUGUGCUCAACGUAUGGGCUGCCGAAAAUACUGCAGGGCUAGGGAGUGGGAGAGGUAGACGGUACUCGGGAGGAAGUGGUAAAAUGCUUUGAUCUUUCGAUGACCACCUGUGGCGAAGGCGGUCUACCAGAACACGUCCGACGGUGAGGGAUGAAAGCUGGGGGAGCAAACCGGAUUAGAUACCCGGGUAGUCCCAGCCGUAAACUAUGCAAACUCAGUGAUGCAUUGGCUUGUGGCCAAUGCAGUGUUGCAGGGAAGCCGUUAAGUUUGCCGCCUGGGAAGUACGUACGCAAGUAUGAAACUUAAAGGAAUUGGCGGGGGAGCACCACAAGGGGUGAAGCCUGCGGUUCAAUUGGAGUCAACGCCAGAAAUCUUACCCGGAGAGACAGCAGAAUGAAGGUCAAGCUGAAGACUUUACCAGACAAGCUGAGAGGUGGUGCAUGGCCGUCGCCAGCUCGUGCCGUGAGAUGUCCUGUUAAGUCAGGUAACGAGCGAGAUCCCUGC
rnacentral:rRNA from 1 species